GCCGCSACGCCGCGUGCGAGGAAGACGGYCUUCGGGUUGUAAACUCCUGUCCUGAGGGACGAARAAGUGRGUACCUCUCRAAGAAGAAGCGGCCAAUUACUUGCCASCAGCCGCGGUAACACGUAGGGGGCGAGCGUUGUCCGGAGAAUUGGGCGUAAAGGGCUCGUGSGCGGCUUGGAAAGUCGGUCGUGAAAACCCGGGGCUCUCCCUGGGAGAGGCCUCGAAACUUCCAUGGCUAGUGUCCGGUARAAGUGAGUGGAAUUCUCRGGGUARCGGUGAAAUGGSCARAUAUUSUGAGGAAACACCRKWGGSAAAGGSGGUCUCUGGGACUGUACCURACCUUAAGASSSAAAGCCUGGGGAAGAAAAMGGAUUUAAUACCCUGGGAGUCCACGCCUGUAAACUUUAAUACUUUGUGUGGGGUAUGUAUCCCCCUCUGCCUGGCCKAACCUAACSCAUUAAKUAUUCCGCCUGGGGAGUACGGCCGCAGGGCUAAAACUCAAAGGAUUUGACGGGGCCCCGCACAAGCGGCGAACCAUGUGGGCUUAUUUCAUGCACCCCGAAGAAACCUUACCUGGACUUGACAUCUUGGGAACUACCUGUGAGAAACACWUGGUGCUUUGCGCCCAUGACAGGUGGUGCAUGGCUGUCUGUCAGCUCGCUGUCUGUGAGAUGGAUGUUUAAKUCCCUCCACKAACGCAACCCCUGUUCUAUGUUGCCU
rnacentral:rRNA from 1 species